rnacentral:rRNA from 1 species
AUGGAGCAGUACAACUUCAGCGCGGAAUUGAUUUACAGAGCUUGGAGAUUUCAUGGUAUGACAACCCGAAGCCAAUGUAGAGGAAGCCUGGAGCUCCUGCAUAGAUCUGGCUCCACCUCCUCCCUCUCUCCAUCACCAGCAACCUCCGACGGUCAAAUCCCAUGCAGAACCGCCCCGGCGAGAUCCGUUUCUCCAGGAGUCAAGUGUCGCGCUCACGAGUUGGGGGACCUCGUGGAGGCAGGUAGUGGUCUACGCGGUGGGGGGCCACGGUGGCGGGGUGGCUCCUCCAGGGCUCCGGCGCUGGUGCCUGCUUGCAGCGGAGAGGUACGGUGGAGGCGGUGGUCGGUGGUGCACGGAGCUUCUGCUCUCAUGUACGCUUGGGCCUAG